UGAUUUCUAAGGAACCUACAUAUACUCAAACUUAUCAAACAUCGAUUACAACUUUAUUGCCAGAUAUCGAUAAGAAUUUCUUAUCUUUGUGAUAAGCAAUUCGUCAACAAACCGUCAAAAAUAGAUUAAAAACUUUUAGUCAGCUUGUGUCAGUCAACUAUGGACAACGUGGAUAUUAACGAGAGCUACAGUAAGAUAAAAUUGGGGAAAAGAGUAAGAAGAGAAUAAUAUCUUUCUCUUACGUACAAAUCAAUAAAUAAAUAUAUUUUAGAUUGGAUGUGGCAGCUAUGGAGUGGUUCACAAAGCAAUUUGGCAAGCUAGUGACCAACAAAAGAAAAUUGCAGUGAAAAUAAUUCAAGACAACAAUCAAGAUUCCGAAACAGAAAUUAUCAAUAAGGAGAGGAAUGUUUUGAACGAAAUUCGGAAUCUUAAACAGUUUAAUCAUAGGAACAUUGUCACGCUAUAUGGAGUCGCAAAAGAUCCCGACAAUAGCAUUUGUAUGAUUUUUGAGUUUGCAGAUUGUGGAUCACUCUACAAUUUUUUGCAUUGUUCGGAUAACGACGUCAGCUACGUUGACAAGAUAAACUGGAUGAAGCAAUGUGCCAAGGGAAUGGAUUAUUUACAUAGUAAUAAUACAGUCCACCGGGAUCUUAAAACUCAGAACUUGUUGCUUUUCGAUAAGUAUCAAACAUUAAAAAUAGGGAUUUUGGAACAGUAAAACAACUUACUACGAUUAAUACGGAAUUCAUUGGCACCAUUCGAUACAUGGCCCCAGAACUUGUUGACGCAAAUGGGAAAUAUACAGAGAAGUGUGACGUUUUUAGCUUUGGGAUUAUAUUUUGGGAAGUCAUGUCUCGGAAGAAGCCUUUCGAGGACUUAAAAGACAUGCAUCCAUUGGCAAUUCAAAAGAAAAUUGUAGAAGGUCUACGGCCAAAUAUAAAUGAUGCAAAAACCUAUGAGGGGUCGGAUCUCUUCAAACUAACUAUUGAAGAGUGCUAGAAAGAAGAUCCUCAAAUUAGGCCGUGUAUGAAAGAGCUGAUUGGUAUUUUAAAAAUAAAUCGUAUAGUUUACUGUAAUGUAAACUUCGAUGACUUAGAGUUAGGAAAAAUGGUUGCCAGCGGUAAAUAUAGCGAUGUCUACAAAGCAACUUGGUAUACCGAAGGCCAAUACAAAGAUGUUGCUGCGCAUAUUAAUAGAAGUUGCAUUCCGGAUUUCAAAUAUGAACAAAGUACCCUCAGCAUAAUCUACUAUCUAAAGAACUUAAAGCAUGAAAAUAUUGUAACAUUAUAUGACAUCUCAAAAACGCACGACAACAGAAUUUGCUUGCUUUUUGAGCUUGCAGACUGUGGAUCACUUCAUAAUUGUUUACAUCAUACGGAAAUCAAAAUUUCUUAUAUUGUAAAGCUAAAUUGGAUGCUUCAAUUUGUCAAGGGUAUGGAACAUCUGCUUAGCAUAGGAAUAAGUCACCGAGACCUGAAAUCAAAGAACUUGAUGCUUUUCGAUGAAUAUCGUACAUUGAAAAUCGGGGAUUUUAUUGCAGUGAAGCGACUUCAUUUAAAUGAUACGUUUAUUGGCCCAGUUCAUUAUACGGCUCCAGAAGUUUAUCUACAUAAGUAUAAGUAGACUUAUACAAUAUUUUUAUUUUUAUUUAUUCCAUUUAUGUAGGAAACACAUAUGCAUACGGAAAAAAGUGAUGUUUUUAGCUUUGGAAUUAUAUUCUGGGAAGUAAUGUGUAGAAGGAAACCCUUCAAUGACAUCAAUCCAUCAGAUAUCUCUAACUUUAUUAUUAAUGGUGGUCGACCUAACCUGGAUGUCUUCCCUAUUUAUGAGGAUUCGGAUCACAUCAAAUACAUAAUUCAUAUGUGCUUCUCGAGAAAUCCAGAAAAUCGCCCUACGAUCAAUAAAUUGUCUGUUCUGCUUCACUUCGAUCCCAGAGUCUUUACCAUGUUCCCUGAUCUAGUCCACCGUAUUGAACCAUUGACAAAUAUUUGCGAUGCAGAUUUUAGUUUGCAACAAACGAAAAGCCUUACUUAUAGUAAACAUAAAUAAAAGUGUUGAGAGCU